rnacentral:rRNA from 1 species
GGGGAAUUUUGCGCAAUGGGGGAAACCCUGACGCAGCAACGCCGCGUGGGUGAUGAAGGCCUUCGGGUCGUAAAGCCCUGUCGGGAGGGAAGAAAUGAUUGAGAGCUAAUACCUCUUGGUCUUGACGGUACCUCCGAAGGAAGCACCGGCUAACUCCGUGCCAGCAGCCGCGGUAAUACGGAGGGUGCAAGCGUUGUUCGGAAUUAUUGGGCGUAAAGCGCGUGUAGGCGGUCUUUUAAGUCUGAUGUGAAAGCCCCGGGCUCAACCUGGGAAGUGCAUUGGAAACUGGGAGACUUGAGUACGGGAGAGGAGAGUGGAAUUCCUAGUGUAGGAGUGAAAUCCGUAGAUAUUAGGAGGAACACCGGUGGCGAAGGCGGCUCUCUGGACCGAUACUGACGCUGAGACGCGAAAGCGUGGGUAGCAAAC